rnacentral:lncRNA from 1 species
CAGUGCUCAGCUGAGCCUUUAUCAGCUGCUGGUAUUAAGGACACGUUGAAGAACAGAUUUAUUGGGCUGCUGUCUGCAGUGAGCACACUAGAAGAGAAAUAAGACUGUCCCGUUGCAAGAGGUUUCAUUCCACUUCAUGCUGAACCAAAAGGAAUAGAUCAGCACCAAGAGCCGUGGCUGUGAGCAUGACCCAGGACUGUCCAUCUCCAGGCUCCUCACAGCAAGGUGCUGCUCCUUCCAAGUGGAGCCACAACAAGACAGCUCCCAGGCACUUCACUACCCAACCUCCAAUGUUUGUUAAGCUCUCCCUUCCUAUGAUGAGCUCUCUGAAGAAAACAGCAAUGAGAGAGAGGGACCCCUGUCCGUGUGCCGACCUCAGAAAGUUUGAGGUAGGCACCAAAGGCACCCAGCCUCAUACAGUGCUCACAGGCGCGUCUGAGCAAAGCCCCACACAUAAUACCACGGCAUUAUUCCUAUUCACGUAGCCGCUGAUCCAUGACGCUGGAAGUAUUUUAAAGACACUGACCCAGAGUCUCAGUAAUGGAGCUGGGGGUGAUGGAAAUGCCCGUUCUGUUCCUACAUCUGCAGUUUAGGUUAUGUGAUCUUACCGUGCUGCUUCAAAACCACAAAACACUGUGGGGGUGUUUGCGGAUUUGCACAUCUCUUAUACUUCACCAUUGUAUGGUAAGUUACACUGGAGCCUCUCCUGAGCUCAUGAACAAAAGCCCAUUGUGUAAGGGUGUUAUACCCCACGUGCUCGGCCCGGGACCUAUAUGUGUCUCAUGAAAGUAGUGGGGAUCUUGCAUGAGAACUGCUUUCUAGUAUUUCUGCUUGGAUUUUAAUGACAUUUGUGCAGGUGCACAGCUUAUAAAAGGAAUCUUUCAAUUCAGCAGCCAUUCCUAGUGAAGAUGGGUUUUUAGUAGCAGCCUCCAGAAUUGUAGUGCAUCACUCAGUGUUACUCCUUUGUGUUUUUUAAGGGGGUGCUUGAGUGUAUUUCCAGUAAAUGGGGUAUGUCUGUACAUGGCCGAGGGAGGGCUUGUGCCACUCCAUGAAAGUUAAAUCAAGUCCAGGACAACUGCACAGGAGGAUAUGUGCAGAAUAAGCUCAUCUUUUCAGCACAGUGCUGUUUCACAUUAGUAGAC